rnacentral:lncRNA from 1 species
ACAGGCCCUCCGACGGUGGCUCCGUGCCCUCAAAAGAAGGACGUUGGGGAGCACGAGGGGGUGGCUCGAGGCGGGAGCGAGGGGCAGGAAGAAAUAGCAGGAAGACCCAGGGGCAGGAGGCCGGUGUUCAAGCGUCGAGGAACGUUUCAUCCCUUCUGAAUCCCAGGCCUCGCUGGACCACGGACCCGCCAGGUUCUCCCGCAACUUGCGGAGCUCCUGGACCGGCCCUUCCCAGAGGCGCAGCGCUGAGUCCCAGGAGCAGGACCUGAACCAGGAAGGGGAGGGGCGAGCACAGUCCUGCCUCCUCCUCCCCGCACAGUGCUGGGGGAAUGACCCCCACUGCCUUCUUCUCCUCCCCCAACACUGCAGGGGGAAUGACCCCCACUGCCUCCUCCUCCCAACACACUGCAGGGGGAAUGACCCCCACUGUCUUCUCCUCCCAACACACUGCAGGGGGAAUGACCCCCACUGUCUUCUCCUCCCAACACACUGCAGGGGGAAUGACCCCCACUGCCUCCUCCUCCCAACACACUGCAGGGGGAAUGACCCCCACUGUCUUCUCCUCCCCCCACACUGCAGGGGGAAUGACCCCCACUGUCUUCUCCUCCCCCCACACUGCAGGGGGAAUGACCCCCACUGUCUUCUCCUCCCCACACACUGCAGGGGGAAUGACCCCCACUGCCUCCUCCUCCCAACACACUGCAGGGGUAAUGACCCCCACUGCCUCCUCCUUCCCCACACACUGCAGGGGGAAUGACCCCCACUGCCUUCUCCUCCCCCAACACUGCAGGGGGAAUGACCCCCACUGCCUCCUGCUCCCCACACACACACUGCAGGGGGAGUGACCCCCAUAUUUUAAUGCAGUGGUUUCUCUGGUCACUCACGGUCCAGCACUAGCACGCAGCAGUCGGGGAAAUGCUGUGGGUAUGAGACGGCCUGGAUUUUGAAGGCGCUGCAUGAAAAAGAAUGUAGAGAAUCUGAAUGCAUUUUAUGUAUAGAUUGCAUGUUGAAAUGAUGCUGUUGGGAUAUAUUAGGCAAAAUAAAAUAUAUCACAAUU